rnacentral:rRNA from 1 species
UACGUAGGGUGCAAGCGUUACCCGGAUUCACUGGGCGUAAAGCGGGUGUAGGCGGCUCGGUAAGUCGGGUGUGAAAUCCCACGGCUCAACCGUGGAAUUGCGCCCGAAACUGCUGAGCUUGGGGCCGGUAGAGGGGGAGGGGACUGCCGGUGUAGGGGUGAAAUCCGUAGAUAUCGGCAGGAACGCCGGUGGGGAAGCCGGUCUCCUGGGCCGCGCCCGACGCUGAGGCCCGAAAGCUAGGGGAGCAAACCGG